rnacentral:rRNA from 1 species
GAUGAACGCUAGCGGCAGGCCUAAUACAUGCAAGUCGAGGGGCAGCACGGUAGCAAUACUGGUGGCGACCGGCGCACGGGUGCGUAACACGUAUGCAACCUGCCUUCAACUGGGAGAUAGCCCGGGGAAACUCGGAUUAAUACCCCAUAACACAGUGAAACAGCAUUGUUUAUGUAAAGCUCCGGCGGUUGAAGAUGGGCAUGCGUUCGAUUAGCUAGUUGGUGUAGGUAAUGGCUCACCAAGGCUACGAUCGAUAGGGGGUCUGAGAGGAUGAUCCCCCACACUGGUACUGAGAUACGGACCAGACUCCUACGGGAGGCAGCAGUAGGGAAUAUUGGUCAAUGGACGCAAGUCUGAACCAGCCAUGCCGCGUGCAGGAAGACGGCCCUCUGGGGUUGUAAACUGCUUUUGAUAGGGACAAAUGCCACUUGCGAGUGGAGCUGAGUGUACCUAUAGAAUAAGCACCGGCUAACUCCGUGCCAGCAGCCG